rnacentral:rRNA from 1 species
UACGAAGGGGGCUAGCGUUGCUCGGAAUUAUUGGGCGUAAAGCGCACGUAGGCGGCUUAGCAAGUCGGAUGUGAAAUCCCUCGGCUCAACCAAGGAAGUGCAUCCGAAACUGCUGAGCUUGAGUACGAAAGAGGAUCGCGGAAUUCCCGGUGUAGAGGUGAAAUUCGUAGAUAUCGGGAGGAACACCGGUGGCGAAGGCGGCGACCUGGGUCGAUACUGACGCUGAGGUGCGAAAGCGUGGGGAGCAAACAGG